rnacentral:rRNA from 1 species
UACAGGGGGGGCAAGCGUUGUUCGGAAUUACUGGGCGUAAAGGGCGUGUAGGUGGCCAACUAAGUCCGACGUGAAAUCCCUCGGCUUAACCGGGGAACUGCGUCUGAUACUGGAUGGCUUGAGGUUGGGAGAGGGAUGCGGAAUUCCAGGUGUAGCGGUGAAAUGCGUAGAUAUCUGGAGGAACACCGGUGGCGAAGGCGGCAUCCUGGACCAAUUCUGACGCUGAGGAGCGAAAGCCAGGGGAGCAAACGGG